UACAGAGGUCUCAAGCGUUGUUCGGAUUCAUUGGGCGUAAAGGGUGUGUAGGUGGCGCCGUAAGUCGGGUGUGAAAUUUCGGAGCUUAACUCCGAAACUGCAUUCGAUACUGCGGUGCUUGAGGACUGGAGAGGAGACUGGAAUUCGAUGGUGUAGCAGUGAAAUGCGUAGAGAUCAUGAGGAAGACCAGUGGCGAAGGCGGGUCUCUGGACAGUUCCUGACACUGAGACACGAAGGCCAGGGGAGGCAAACGGG
rnacentral:rRNA from 1 species